rnacentral:rRNA from 1 species
AUUGAACGCUGGCGGCAGGCCUAACACAUGCAAGUCGAGCGGUAGCACAGAGAGCUUGCUCUCGGGUGACGAGCGGCGGACGGGGGAGUAAUGUCUGGGAAACUGCCUGAUGGAGGGGGAUAACUACUGGAAACGGUAGCUAAUACCGCAUAAUGUCGCAAGACCAAAGUGGGGGACCUUCGGGCCUCAUGCCAUCAGAUGUGCCCAGAUGGGAUUAGCUAGUAGGUGGGGUAACGGCUCACCUAGGCGACGAUCCCUAGCUGGUCUGAGAGGAUGACCAGCCACACUGGAACUGAGACACGGUCCAGACUCCUACGGGAGGCAGCAGUGGGGAAUAUUGCACAAUGGGCGCAAGCCUGAUGCAGCCAUGCCGCGUGUGUGAAGAAGGCCUUCGGGUUGUAAAGCACUUUCAGCGGGGAGGAAGGCGGUGAGGUUAAUAACCUCAUCGAUUGACGUUACCCGCAGAAGAAGCACCGGCUAACUCCGUGCCAGCAGCCGCGGUAAUACGGAGGGUGCAAGCGUUAAUCGGAAUUACUGGGCGUAAAGCGCACGCAGGCGGUCUGUCAAGUCGGAUGUGAAAUCCCCGGGCUCAACCUGGGAACUGCAUUCGAAACUGGCAGGCUAGAGUCUUGUAGAGGGGGGUAGAAUUCCAGGUGUAGCGGUGAAAUGCGUAGAGAUCUGGAGGAAUACCGGUGGCGAAGGCGGCCCCCUGGACAAAGACUGACGCUCAGGUGCGAAAGCGUGGGGAGCAAACAGGAUUAGAUACCCUGGUAGUCCACGCCGUAAACGAUGUCGAUUUGGAGGUUGUGCCCUUGAGGCGUGGCUUCCGGAGCUAACGCGUUAAAUCGACCGCCUGGGGAGUACGGCCGCAAGGUUAAAACUCAAAUGAAUUGACGGGGGCCCGCACAAGCGGUGGAGCAUGUGGUUUAAUUCGAUGCAACGCGAAGAACCUUACCUGGUCUUGACAUCCACAGAACUUUCCAGAGAUGGAUUGGUGCCUUCGGGAACUGUGAGACAGGUGCUGCAUGGCUGUCGUCAGCUCGUGUUGUGAAAUGUUGGGUUAAGUCCCGCAACGAGCGCAACCCUUAUCCUUUGUUGCCAGCGGUUAGGCCGGGAACUCAAAGGAGACUGCCAGUGAUAAACUGGAGGAAGGUGGGGAUGACGUCAAGUCAUCAUGGCCCUUACGACCAGGGCUACACACGUGCUACAAUGGCAUAUACAAAGAGAAGCGACCUCGCGAGAGCAAGCGGACCUCAUAAAGUAUGUCGUAGUCCGGAUUGGAGUCUGCAACUCGACUCCAUGAAGUCGGAAUCGCUAGUAAUCGUAGAUCAGAAUGCUACGGUGAAUACGUUCCCGGGCCU